rnacentral:misc_RNA from 1 species
CUUAGACUUGUGGUGCUCGUGAGGUUCUUAAACGCAGUGCAGUUUGGGGGAAGGGGUUCUGGCCAUCUUGCCGUCGACCCUCUCUCCUCUUCUUUUCUUUUCUAUAGAGAGUUUUUUUAGUUCUUAGAUGGGUUUUUUUUCGUUUUUUCUAGUUUUCUCAGUCUCCAAUAUGGAGUCAUAGUACCCCUUCUCUAGAUGGGGCUUUUGUUGGGUGUUCUACGGGAGAUUAAUCGACUCCCUUCCCCUGUGUUGUGAAGCGCUUCGGAGCACUGUCGGUUGGCAAAUUAAAAGGCGGGCACCAUAUGGGUCACCUGUGCCUAACCCUUUCCCGGUUUGUCCGGCCAUGGUCCAAGUCCCGGCUCUUAUUUGGUGGUUGCUGCAGUUUCCCGUUUUCCAUAUGGGUUUGCAAGGGUGAGCAUGAAGGCUUUUGGAUCAAGUGGGUGCUCAUGCACUCCAUUUGAUGUUUCUAUGUAUCUCCCUGCAUGUAAGUUUUCCAAGCUACCACAUUGUAUCUCCUUCAAAAGCUUAUGAAGUGUUGUCGAAGACAAGUCGGCAGCUAUGACUGAUGAAUCAAGAAGGUUGCUGAUGAAAAUGAUCUCCGGGUCAACCCGGUUAGUUUGGGGCUUCAUGUUCAUUUGGGUUUAGGUCUCUAGGCUUGGUUUGGGUUGAGAUUAAUGUGGUACUGUAUCUUUUAGUGGACUUGACCAUGUAAGCUUAUUUCAUCAAUGAAAUAUCUU